rnacentral:rRNA from 1 species
AUUGAACGCUGGCGGCAUGCCUUACACAUGCAAGUCGAACGGGCUUUGGGGCUUGCUCCAAGGUUAGUGGCGAACGGGUGAGUAAUAUAUCGGAACGUACCCUAGAGUGGGGGAUAACUAGUCGAAUGGCUGGCUAAUACCGCAUACGAUCUAAGGAUGAAAGUGGGGGACCUUCGGGCCUCAUGCUCAUGGAGCGGCCGAUAUCUGAUUAGCUAGUUGGUGGGGUAAAAGCCUACCAAGGCGACGAUCAGUAGCUGGUCUGAGAGGACGAUCAGCCACACUGGGACUGAGACACGGCCAAGACUCCUACGGGAGGCAGCAGUGGGGAAUUUUGGACAAUGGGCGAAAGCCUGAUCCAGCAAUGCCGCGUGAGUGAAGAAGGCCUUCGGGUUGUAAAGCUCUUUUGUCAGGGAAGAAACGGUGGGGGCUAAUAUCCUCUGCUAAUGACGGUACCUGAAGAAUAAGCACCGGCCAACUACGUGCCAGCCGCCGCGGUAA